AAUAAAGGCCAAAUACUUGCCUAUUACCCCAGCUGUUUUUCCCAUAUAUAAAGGUAUAGCAAGACAAUCAAUCAAAGAGGCCCAACAGCAAGGAGGCCCAGCGGAUGUAUCCCAUUACCCCUACCCCUGGACCCUGGAAAGGCAAUCAAUCAAGGGGACCCAGACAGAUGUAUCCUAUUUACCCCUAGAAAGGAAUUUAAAAUUCCUUAGGUCAGCAGAAUGUAUGCACGUUAAGUCAUUUGUUACUGGGUAUAAAAAGGCUUGCUCUACGCUUGUAAGGUGUGUUCCUCCCUCUGGCAUGAGUCGAGGGGGACACCCGCUCAGCUGACUGAUCAAUAAAGAACUUGAAGCCGUCUUCUAGACUCCCGUGCCUCCUUGGGGUAAUUGGGCAGCUCCAGGGGGAAACGAGCCCAUUUGGCUAACAAAUGGCGACUCCGCCGGGACUUCUCUCCCUGUAGAGGGCACUGACCGACGGCCGAGGGCGAUUCCGAGGAGUGGCCACCUCGAGCUGUUGCUUUGCUCGGGCCUCGGAUCGUCACAAUCGGCCGGGGCGGCUGUGUCCUCUCUAAAGAGAACUCUGAAGGACACGGAAGCAAGACGGCUUCAGAAGAAGGGGAAGUCUGACUGCCGGACGCGGCCACUUCGGGCGGUAAGUGCGUUUACCUCCUGGGUUUGAGGAAUAACGCCCCCGAGGUGUGGGUUGGACAGUGGAAAUCCCCUAGGCAGCCUGUAUACGGGAAGCUGCAUCGACGCGGCGCCAUUCCAGGCUCUCCCCUUGGACCAGACCGUGCAUCCGUUCCGGAUCGGUGACCAGGUCCUUGUCAAGAAAUGGAGGCGUGACCCCCUUACACCACGGUGGGACGGCCCGCACACUGUUUCGCUCAUCAGCCAAACUGCGGUCAAAGUUCUCGGGAGUGACAAAUGGACACACCAUACACGGGUAAAGCGGUUUCUGAAUCCUGACCAGGGAACCAAUCCCAUGGAAGAGGACACCAGCCCUCUGCCUGCCCCGGCCCCGGAAGCCCGGGGUGGCACGGGCGAAGACACCGUCUGGGAGUAUCAAGGACUCGAUGGGCUAAAAGGACUGUUUAGGAAAAAGCAAUAAUGAACUCAUUAUUGAUAUUUCUGUUCAUAGGUGUCUAUCACGGCUAUGGUUGGGAGAAUAGGUUUAUACAACUGGAAGAAAUAAUAGCGAGUUCCUUCAAUCUUAGUAGCUGCUGGGUUUGUGGAGGUCCAGGGGAUUGGAAUGAAUGGCCUUGGGUAGCCCAGCCAGUGCAAGCUAAAUGGUGGAUCAGUAAUUUAAGUAUAGUCCACAAAGGAACAGAAGUUUGGGAUGAGGAUAGUAGCCCUUGGUGACUCUAUUCCUUGAAAUGGGGAUCCUUUGUCUAAACCGAACAAAACCAGAAGGGGUGUAUGUGGGCCAAAGCCAAUGUGACUGGACCCUAUCUCUAGGAUUUGACUGCUAUGAUCACCCUAGUUGCCAUACGUAUGACUGUUCUAAAUAUCAGGGACGAUGGAACCAAACCCACGUAAAACUCACUAAUCAUAGCUGGGUAAGUUGUUCCUACCAACAGCAUACCGGCAAGGGCUGUUAGGCAGUUGGACAAGAUGGGUUCUUUGAUGCCCUCUUUCUAAGUUGCCAGCGAGAUAAUACCGACAGUAAGGAUCAUGUGGUACGCUGGUAUCAGUGGGCAUGGCAACAUUCUAAUGGAACUCGGGUAACCCAUUUUAAUCAUUUUUGGUCUACUACCAAUAGCCCUAAAUUUGGUUGUAAUUGCGCUUGGAAGGAAGGGGCUGGGCCUUGGAAGUGUGACUAUUGUAAUCCUGACGGUACAUCUAUUGUAUUAGGGGGACCCCUGGAGAUGGGUAACUCUUUGUAUUACGAAGAACCGGGCCCCGAGGACUACCCCGAAGCCUGGGAUGGCCCCUUUGCGAAUGGACAAUGGGCCCUAAAAGGCCAUUACUGGAUAUGUGGGCAACACGCUUAUCGGAGAUUGCCUCCAAAUUGGUCAGGAAUAUGUUAAGUUGGGUACAUUAGGCCCUUGUUCUUUCUACUACCCCAAAUUCUGGGAAAUAAGUUAGGAAUUAAGGUAUAUGACGACUUGAUUAGGAAGAGGCGGUCCGUUGAUUCCGCAUUGAUUGCUGGAAGCUCCCAAAAGUGGGGGGCUCAAGAGUGGCUCCCUGUGUAAUUGCAUUAGUCCGACGAAUGGCUAAUCAAAUUGUACGCCAACGCAUGAUGGCAUUAUAUCAACCGGUAAAAGCUGAGGAUUGGGGGCCAUAAGGCUCUCAAAAUGCUUUUAAGGGGGGAGAACCUUGUUAGAAUAAAGGCCAAAUACUUGCCUAUUACCCCAGCUGUUUUUCCCAUAUAUAAAGGUAUAGCAAGACAAUCAAUCAAAGAGGCCCAACAGCAAGGAGGCCCAGCGGAUGUAUCCCAUUACCCCUACCCCUGGACCCUGGAAAGGCAAUCAGUCAAGGGGACCCAGACAGAUGUAUCCUAUUUACCCCUAGAAAGGAAUUUAAAAUUCCUUAGGUCAGCAGAAUGUAUGCACGUUAAGUCAUUUGUUACUGGGUAUAAAAAGGCUUGCUCUACGCUUGUAAGGUGUGUUCCUCCCUCUGGCAUGAGUCGAGGGGGACACCCGCUCAGCUGACUGAUCAAUAAAGAACUUGAAGCCGUC